AAGCUCUUUCUCACCCUCGGAUUCUGAGAGUCAACAGUGGGGCUUCUGGAAAUCAGGAAACUUGUAAACAACUGGAUUCUGACUUCUGCAGCCAAUUGUGGGUCAACAAGUCCCUAACUGGGACCCUGUGCUUGAUAUUCUGUUGGGCUGAAUGUUUGGACUGUGGGUGGAAUGUCCCUGAGGAGCCCUAGUUCUGAGAGGCACUAGCUAGCCUGCAGGUUCCUGUCCAACGUCCCAUUUUCAUAAAUCACCAGAAGGGAGAGAAUGCUGCUCUGUCUUCAGUGACCUCUGCAUGUUCUCUUUCUGUGUUAAAGGCAACACAGGAGUGUGAUUAACCACCAGACUGUACUCUCUCAUUGAGCCAUGACCGUGAUCGCUUUAAAAAAAAAAUCACCUCUAGUCUGUAAGGGAGAUACUGACUCUCCAACCAAGAAACUUGAUUCUCUUUGCUUUUAAAGGUUCAUGUUCAAAGUCAAAUGAAUUGGAUGGAAAUCAGUUCCAAUGACUGUGCCUAUAAAUAGUCCCGACUCCUCUCCCCCCCACCUGUUAAUUAAAGGCCAAGAAAGAGAGCCACUGAGCCGGAAUGGCAGACUUGUGUUGACAGCCUGUUUAAAAGGUGUUGUCAGUUUGGAAGUAGAGUCUCCUGCCAAUCGGUAUCCAAAUGGAAGAGAAUCGGUGCUAAGAGGCUUGGGAGCCUACAAAAGAGAAGCAGUUGUUUGUGGAGGUUUUGCUUCAUCUGUAUUGAAGAUGGCCUGAGAACCUGGCCUUCCGGAGGGAGUAAUAGAUACAUCGACUUUAACAAGAUCUAUCUCCUACUCAGAGACGUUCUGCACGCAUUGCUGAGUGGCACGAAGCAGACCGUUACGGGUCCCAUUAGAAAUGGGAAAGGUGGAUCCAUAUCAUUCCAAGCUGCAGCCUCUGUUCCUAGAAACUUCUGAAUGUAGAAAAUCUUAUCUGAAAUUAAAUUAAAGCAUCUUUUUAAACGUUUGUGGAGUCUACCAGUUCUCCAUAGUGGAUGGACGCAGGAGGACGUUUGCUGAGAUGUCAGGGAUGCUACCUGUGGGAGUGACGUCCCUUGUCACUCUCCCUGGCAUAAAGCAUCAACCCACAGCGUCCUGGGUAGAAACACUGCCUUGUAGCUCUGGGGUACCACCAGAGCAAAUAAACCCCUCUGUGCAAAUAAAACUGAUUUGAGGUUCCAGAAAUAAAGGAAACUCUAAGUUUCCACCCUAGCUUGGGAGCCAUGUAUGGUGUCAGUGGGCCAAUUUGGUGUGUAUUAGGGAACAUGGUCCUACCCGCCUUCACCCAUGACCCAUCUCGCUUCCGCUGUACCCGUGUCCCUCUGAACCCAUCUAUGCACUGUCUUCAUGAGUUUCUUUGGUCUUUACUGAGGGAAGAGAGAGGAGAGUAGGAUUGGAACUGAUUAGAAUGGGAGAUUCAAACUGUCAAAGCACAGAACUUUCCCAAGAAGCUGUUUUUAUUUCCGUAUGGCAAACUGUCCUUUCUGGAAUGUUCAGAGACGGUAAUGUCGUGGAAUCCCCAGACAAGUCUCUUGUGGGGAUGAUGUUAGGUAGCGCCUUUUAGUA
rnacentral:lncRNA from 1 species